rnacentral:snoRNA from 1 species
ACUUCUGCAUCCAAGUGAUCUGCUAUAACCGUUUGAUUCAGAUCAGUCUGUGUGAUGCGGUAAUGCUAGCAGAGCAAUACGCAGAAGGAGAUGAAUGAGCACCGAGCUGAAAAUGAGCAUUGGUCGAACCUCUUUCCUAAUGUUCAUUGCCCUCUGUCUCAAGGCUCAGUGCCACAUAA